rnacentral:rRNA from 1 species
UUGCUAGUAAUCGCAGAUCAGCAUGCUGCGGUGAAUACGUUCCCGGGCCUUGUACACACCGCCCGUCACACCAUGGGAGUCGGUAACACCCAAAGUUGGUAGCCUAACCGCAAGGAGGGCGCCGCCUAAGGUGGGAUUGAUGACUGGGGUGAAGUCGUAACAAGGUAUC